rnacentral:lncRNA from 1 species
GCCCCAGUCCCACUAGACCACGAUCGCACCACGCUCACCGCGAUCUAAAAUAAAUUCAGAUCAUGGUGAGGUCGCGGUAUAAGCGGCAUGAAAAUAUAAAUUUUCGUUGCUUUCACAAUUAAUGCUACUACAUUCUCAUUAAGUCCCAGUCCCACUAGACCACGAUCGCACCACGCUCACCGCGAUCUAAAAUAAAUUUAGAUCGUGGUGAGGUCGCGGUAUGAGCGGCAUGAAAAUGUUAAUUUUCGUUGCUUUCACGAUGCUACUACGUCCUCAUUACGCUUCUACAACAAU